UAUGCAAAUUAAAACAAAGCGUGGAUCUCU
rnacentral:piRNA from 1 species